rnacentral:lncRNA from 1 species
AGUCACUCGCCCGCCCUUCCGGGCCCACUCCCGAGGGGACGGUCUCCCGCCCGCCCUCACACACAGCUAGCUCUUCAGGCCAGGCCCCCAGGGUUUCGUCCACCUCUCACCUUUGACGACGCGAAUGAAGAAUGAGGAGGUGCUGCGAUCGAACGACUGCGAGGAAACACACCCGCUCUCAUGGCAUUCCCAGUAAACUGAGAAGACGUGAUUAAACCUCAGGAUCUCCUACUAAUAGAGAAAUGUAUAACGAUUUAGCUACCAGAUCUGAAUACUGAAGGGUUGGUAGGGGACCAGAGAAUAGAGGAAGCAUUGUAGGUUCUAGAGUGGAGAAGGGACCAUCCAAAAUGGAGUUUGAAAGAGAAUUCUGGCCUUUGUGUUUAGAGUCUGGAAUUGUCAAGAGUCUGAAAGCACAGAAUAAGACUGCAGCUAGAGCAAUUUAGGCGCCAUAGUUUGUCAAAACAGAGACGGGAUCUCACUGUGUUGCCCAGGCUGGUCUCGAACUGCUGGACUCAAGUCAUCCUCCCAUCUUGGCCUCCCAAAGUGCUGGAAUUACAGUGGACAACCUUCAAUGCACUGGUACUUUGUACCCUGACCUCUACUGUGAUGAACACUCAACUUGGGCAAGGAAGUGAAAUUCUCCAAAGUGCAGUGGGUUCUGACCCAAUCAGCAGCCUUUGCUUCUCAGAUUCCUCUCAAGGCUUUAUGACUCUUCUCACCCCAGGAAACCCUACAACACGCACGGCCUUUCAGAACUGCUACAUGGAAUGGACAUUCCUCUGGGCUCCAGCUGAAUGUUUGUAAAUAAAAUAAUGACUGCGUGUCCUUAU